AACGAACGCUGGCGGCAGGCUUAACACAUGCAAGUCGAACGGGUGUAGCAAUACAUCAGUGGCAGACGGGUGAGUAACACGUGGGAACCUUCCUAGGGGUACGGAACAACUCAGGGAAACUUGAGCUAAUACCGUAUACGUCCGUAAGGAGAAAGAUUCAUCGCCCCUAGACGGGCCCGCGUCGGAUUAGGUAGUUGGUGGGGUAACGGCCUACCAAGCCUACGAUCCGUAGCUGAUCUGAGAGGANGAUCAGCCACACUGGGACUGAGACACGGCCCAGACUCCUACGGGAGGCAGCAGUGGGGAAUCUUGGACAAUGGGCGCAAGCCUGAUCCAGCCAUGCCGCGUGAGUGAUGACGGCCU
rnacentral:rRNA from 1 species